rnacentral:lncRNA from 1 species
ACAGAAAUGAUAAUAGAAGAAAUGAACAGGAAAAUCGUGAAAACCGAUACGGGUCCGACAGACCAAGAGAAAAUAGAAGAGCGGUAAACAAUACGCAAAUAGGUGAAUAUGAGGAUGAGAGACAAAGCGACGAAAGAAGAAGCGAAGAAGAACAGCAGGCGUUUUUUCACGAAGGCGCUCACUAGACACAAAAAAA